rnacentral:snRNA from 1 species
AAAUGGAUAAAAUCCGAUAC